rnacentral:rRNA from 1 species
UACGUAGGGGGCUAGCGUUGUCCGGAAUCAUUGGGCGUAAAGAGCGUGUAGGCGGUCCGGUAAGUCCGCUGUGAAAGUCGGGGGCUCAACCCUCGAAUGCCGGUGGAUACUGUCGGGCUAGAGUGCGGAAGAGGCGAGUGGAAUUCCUGGUGUAGCGGUGAAAUGCGCAGAUAUCGGGAGGAACACCAGUGGCGAAGGCGGCGACCUGGACAGAUAUUGACGCUGAGGUGCGAAAGCGUGGGGAGCAAACAGG